UAAUCGUAUUAUUCAAAACCUAAUCUUCUCCACCCCACAAACAAUCUUCUCCACCGUUGUCUCCCACGUCACUAACACACAAAACCCUAAUUUCUCUUUUCACCAUACGCAUCGUCGAUCCAGCAGUUCAUACACGUCUACAGCAAUGCUUCACAAAUGAUUCAAGUCCGCCAAAUGGUUGAACAUGUAAUUAGGGAAGAGAAUAUGGUGAGUGCAUAUAAUUUGAUUGAGAUAUACUACGAACUUAGUGUUACUUGAUUACUUGCGAAAUCAAUUUAAGAAGAAGAAUCGGGACUUAACUUGAAUGUUUAGAUAUUGGAAGCAUCAGUAGGUGAGCACUUGAUGGGAAAAGAGACAAUAUAAGAUUUUGGACAAAAUUGCUACUCACGUGUUCCUGAGCUGCUUAUAAGCGUAUGUGCAUACCAUAACGCAAGACGGAUGUUGUACAUAAACACAACCGAAACACUCGAAGAACGACACAAAUUCAAAAUCUAAAGAGGGAAAAUGUGGAUCGAAGAACGACAAAAAAUCAAGUUUUUAGGUGAUGGUGGAUCUUAAUACAAGGAGGUUAAAUUUACAAGUUGUAAAUAUUAAAGUUGACAGUAUAGGAGCACUGAAAGUUUAAUAUACCAUUAUUUUUGUCGAUGUUUGGAAUGUGAAUAACCAGGAGCCAAAUUUGAUAAAAAUGACGGGAAGCCUAAAGUUGGUAGGUGUACUCCCCAUGGGAUUAUUUUGUUUAGAAGGUAUUUUUUUUUUGUUAGUUAUUCUUAUAAAUUAAUCAUUUUUAAUUGAAUUUCAUAUGGGAAGGGGAUGCGGCAACUGAGCAACAAACGAGCUAAGACUCUCAAUUCAUAUAUAUGUUAGAGUCGAAGCGUGUUCAUUAAAAAAAGUUACAACGGGUCAUUUCCUAAUGCAAAAAUGGAAAACUAUUGCUCGACAUGUUUAAGAUCAAAACAUGUCAACGUUUUUUAUAUUUAUCUGGAUUAUAUUUGUAGUUCCAUUUUUGUCGUUAGACUUAUGUAAUAUAUUUAACUUUAUGUUAUACACUUUUUCUUUUAGUUUCAAUCAAGACCCUUAAAAUGUCAUA